UAGAGAGCCGGGAGAAGAUUUUGAGAACUCUAUUGACCAAAGAAAGAGUGGCCGAAGGGCUAGACUCCAAGGAGCUUGCAGCCAUGACUGAAAGAUACACUGGGAGUGACCUUAAGAAUUUCUGCACAACUGCUGCUUAUCGACCUGUCAGGGAGUUCAUACAACAAGAAAGACUGAGGAUAUGGUUAAUGCCCAGUUCUUCCUGAGGCUUUCUUAAUGUAUUUAGGAAGAGGAAAUUCCACGCUAGAUGUUUAUGGAACCAACCUUUUACUCCCAAACCAAACUUUACAGGAGAAAACGCAGUGAGUUGCAGAAAGGCAGAAAACCAAAGAGUUCGAACAUGAAAGAGGAAAGAGUGAUUACUCUGAGGCCACUAAACAUGGAAGAUUUUAGGGUGUCUAAGACUCAGUUUGCAGCUAGUUUUGCUACUGGAGGAUCCAUAAUGGCUGAGUUAAAACAGUGGAACGAUUUGUACGGAGAAGGGGGGUCAAGGAAGAAGGAGCAGUUAUCUUAUUUCUUAUAAGAUAUGGCGGGUAAUAAGAUAUGACAUGUAAUGUAAGGAAAAGUAGGAAACGCCUUCAAGGAUACUAGUUUGCAAUAUGUGACAAUACUAAAAUCUAAACCAUAAUGUGCUACCUCUAGUGGUAGUAGUCUAAUAGGAA